rnacentral:lncRNA from 1 species
UGUUUGCUUAAAUUUGUCUUCAUCACAACCACUUUCAGAGGUAACCUUCAAUCUUUUGACAACUGCUGGAGAUUCAGGGACUGUUUCAUGAAUAAGAAGCUAAGGAUAUGAAAACUUCUCUCCCAUUACUGAUAACUUUUUCAAGAAAGGAAACAUUUCUGCAGCUUCUUGGUUGGAUGAUGGGGGAGAAUUGCAUGGAGAAGGUACUCUGCUGCCAAUAGGAGCCGGGAUUGCUGGAUAAUGUGUGGAAAUGAAAACCAUCAAUGGCCUUAAUCUUUUCGUGGACUAAAAAGGAAAUGUUCUGAACAGUAUGAAAUGCCUGCAGACAGAAGCUUAGAGGAUGAACUGACCUUGUACAAACUUAGCCAACCUCAGCAAUCUUCUGCCAGAUGUGUGCUUCAUUAUUCAAGUGAUACUGCACUGUCAGACUCCUUUUGAAACGAAGUGGACAUGCCAAUCCAACGUCUGGUCCUCAGAUCCUUAGCUACUGUAAGUAGAAAACACUGUACAGACGGAGAGCUGAUUCCAUUUACUCAAGGGAUAUUCAUUUAGAUUUGAAAUGUUAAUCAAUGCAGUUCAGAGCUCUCUAAAAAGUUCUAUCCUGAAAGCAAUAGAACUUCAAAACUUCUGAGUUGUUUUGCAUCUUCAGUUUAAAUGUGUUUAUAAUAUGUAUUUAAAAUAGUUUAGCAUAUUAAAUAUUUUGU